rnacentral:lncRNA from 1 species
AAAAAGGGAACUCACAAGAAAAAGAGGCACAGAUUCUACACUACAUCAUCACUGAAAUUUUCCACACUCCAGAGAUGACUCUCCUCCAUCAUCAUACAUAUACGCACAUUCACAGCAACACAUAAGGCGGGAGGGCUCAAUUUUUUUUUUUUUUUCCAUGGAUCCCUGAUUCAUCUUUUACACAGUCACCAUCAUAUAAACACAACACACACUCUCAUAGAUUCUUCUUCUACACACAACUCACACGCAUACACAGUGAUAUCGAUGUAAAGAGGCGAGAUAUCAAUGAAACAGCGAGAAAUUGUGAGAGGAUGGGAGCAAAGCAGUAAAAAAAUAGAACAAGAUAGAUUGAUUCUCGGGUUUUUCCGGCGAGAUUUCUGCCGGAAGUGACGACGGCUCGUCCAAAUAACCCAACCAGUGCCAAAAUCCCCCAGAAAUCUCAUCGUUGUUAUUGAGUUUUAGGUGAAAUCCCGCCGGAAAUAAUAUCCCAGUAGAUCGUUAGUCCUAAACCGGCCAUUCGGGUUGAUUCCGGCGAGUUCUCACCGGAAAUCAUCAGACGGGUUCUCAGCUUCUUGUUGGAAGUUUUGGUUUCAGGUUGUUUUUGUCUAUUUUCCGCGAUUUUUGUUCGAACUGGUGAAAAACAGAGCAAAAGUUGAAAUACCGAGGCUUGGUUUCGUUGUUUGGAUCUGUUUCGGGGUUCAUCGGUUCACGAGGCUUGAAAUCGAUACAAGUUGAUUGAAUAAAAGGAACAUUGAGGUACAACUCUAUCUUUUCUCUCUUUAAUUUUAACGUAAUUGUGAGUAUUUUGUGUGCUUACCAUGUUUGAAUCGUCAUAGUGUAUUGUUUGAUGUUGGAGUUGGAUGUGAAAUCUUGAUUGGUGAAUCACGUAUGAAAUUAGUUUAAUCAUGUUGAGAUUGAAUUCGGGGUGAAAUUGAGAAAUUGACAAAACAGUGAAUUUGGAUUGAUUAAGACUUUGGUUUAAGUAUGAAUAUUGUUGAACACAAUAGUAGCAUGAUUAGACCAUUAAUUGGUAGGCAAAUUCUAGAUUUUGAGGUAAGCAACUCAUAGGAUUCUAAUCAUCAAAUGUGUAAAUGUUUGUGUUGAGUGAUUUUUCCCAUUUUAUCGCUUAAAAAUAUACUCAUUUGGUCGGGAAUGCUCCGAGGAAUUUGUAUUGAUUUAUUCGGGGAAUGCUCCGACAUAUCAUGUAUGUAAAGGAGGUUCGUGAUCAAGGCCCGAGACAUCGGGUAAGGCAUCGGACCGUAGUUUUAGGAUUAGAUUUGAAUAUGUAAUGACCCUUACGGUCAUUUUACUGUAUUUUCAUAUAAUUGUAGUACUAUCUAUCUAUAUAUAUAUCGUGGAUUAUUUAAUUUAAUUUGACAUUUUGCAAAAAUAUAACUUAGUAACCUUCUAAAAUAUUUUCGAUAUUUAUAAAAUUCUUUAAGUCAUGAGAUAUUUAUCUCACUUUAUAAUAAACUUUUAUAAUUUGUUAAUAUUGUAAGCGGAGAUAGUAAUUUUAGAAAAAUAUUAAAAUAUUAUUAUUAUAUAAUAGAGGUUUUGUUAGAAAUAAUUUUCUAUUAAUUAUGAUAUAUUCAAAAUAUUAUAAUUAUUUUAUCAUGAAUUUAUACAAUACCAGAUUAUGUACACAAUGUAGGAAAAAUAAGGCAACCGUUCACGUGGAAAUGAAUGGGUGGACCACUUUUGUAAUCAUCCAAUUUAAUUGCCAUGUGUUACUCCUAACGUAGCAUUUCAAUAUUUUAUCAAUCAAUGAAUAAGACAUAAUGGUCCCUCUCUCUUUAUUAUAUAUAUAUUUGGGCUUUCCAUUUUUGGAGAGAAAUUUUAGAAAGCAAAGUGUAUGUUAUUACCAGUUCCCUUUCGCCUUUUUUUUUUUUAUGUGCUAAACACAUAGCUAUAAUAUUUUUCUAAAAGAAGUUUUGGCGGAUGUACUUGUUCUUUUAAUCAAUUAUCUUCUGCAAGUAAUUUGAGAUUGGGUUUUUCGGAGGCUUUUUGGAAGAAUUAUAGCUUUGGCGUUCAGGUAGGUUAGGUUUACCCUAUUUUUAGAUUGAGCUUACUUACUGAAAAUCUUAACUAUUAUGUUAGCUUUGGAUAAAUCCUUGUAGAUGCGUAUUUUUGAUACAUAUAAAUUGUCUUAUUUAUUCGAAUUAGGGCCCCGUUUUAGUAAAUUUUUGGAAAACUUAUCUCUUAAUAUAAUGUAACAUGUAUCACUUUGGGACGUAAAUAUACUUUUUAUUUGAAAGUAUAGUUGUAUACAUAUAUAUAUAUUUGCUUCUCUUCAUCAUCCUCCAAUAUACCUUUAGAAAUGGUUAUAUGAAACGUGUAUGCAUAUAUAAUUAUUUGAAAAGCAUAUAUGUAUAAGAGUAUAUAUUAAGCAUAUGAUAAUAUAGACAUAUAGUAUAUUUAUUAAAUUACAAAACCUUGAAUUUAUCCCUUUUUAAGAUUAAAGAAUGAUUGUUUAGACAUUGUUAUGAUAUGGUAUGAAUUUUAUUAUUUUCGGUGGUUAUGGUUACUAUGAGUUCCGGUUCGAGUCCGGCAAAUGAUUUUUAUGGUUACUAUGAGUUCCAAUUUGAGUCUGGCAAAUUAUUAUUAUGGUUACUAUGAGUUUCGGUUCGAGUCUGGCAAAUGAUUAUUAUGGUUACUAUGAGUUUCGGUUCGAGUCCGGCAUCUGCUUAUGAGUUCUAUAUAUAUGGCCUCUCGUUAUUACCCACUGGUGCCGGUUCAAGUCCUGUGCACAUCUGGAAAACUAUUAUGAUUUAUGGUGAUCAGCGCAGUUAUAGACUAUUUAUGUUUAUUUUCAUUACUUGUGUGUCCCACCGGCUUAUGGGGGUACGGAUGGUUUAAUUGUCUUCUUUAGUGUGCCUAGCGGGCUUAUGGGGGCCCAGCUAGGUUAUGUUUGAUUUAUCUAUUAUUACUGCAUUAUUAUUUUUUGGUAUCGCAUAAGUUUAUUCCUUUACAGCCAUUGCAUAGCUUGGUAGCUGUUUACCUUUCCAUUCCUAUCUACUAAUGACUCAGAUUACGCCCUCGCAUUGUAGUUAUACCUUUUCUGUAUUACGCUCAGUCGGGCGAUGAUGCCUACUGAGUACCCGUAAGUUUUGGUACUCAUACUACACUUCUGCAUCUUUUUCUGAUGCAGCUCAGGGUAAUAGCAGUCGACGUUAACGUGGUUCCUACCUUCCAUCAUUGAUUUAGAGCAGGGUGAUCUUAUUGUCGUCUGAGGCUGAUCCUCUUCUAUCUAUUCCAGUUAGUCUUUUGUUCUCGAGACUGCUUGUGUAUAUUGUGUACAUUUUAUAUUUUUGUCUAGUACUCUAGGUACCUUUUAGUAAUGGCUCUAGUACUGACCUUAUCAGGUCUUGGGAGGGAUUCAUUGUAAGUUGAUCCUUUUUCCUCAUCUCGUUUUGAUAUAAUAUAUAUGCUCCUUUCUUAGUUUUUACUUAUUAUUAUUAUACAUAAUCCUUUAUUUGGUCUCUGCCUGUUAGCCCGUUACUUAUAAUUUCGGACUAUGGCUUGACUUGCCUACUUGUGGGUUAAAGUAGGCGCCAUCAUUACUUGAGAAAUCGGGUCGUGACAGAUUGGUAUCAAAGCAUAGGUCUUACUGGUAUUGUUAGUACUGGAGCUGAUGUUUAGUUGAGUCUUGCGGAUCGGUACGGAGACGUCUGUAUCUUAUCCUCGGGAUGCUACCGAGCAUUUUUAGGAAAAAAAAUCUCAUUAUUGAUCCAUUUUGUGCAUUAAGUCUGGGUUGGUUGUAAUCUUCUUUCAUUGGCUCACUGUUUACACAGAUGGCUAGGACGCGAGGUUCAAGAGCGGGCGGUCGGGGCCCGGGGCACGCUUCUAGAGUUCUAGCUUGGGGUUGAAGUCGACCCAGAUAUCAGGGGCAGGGUAGAGCAGCACAGGGUGGUGUUGACUUAGUGGCACAGCCUGCGGCAGCGAUGCUUAGGGUAGAGAUUUUGCUAGCACCAGUAGUCCCACAACCGGUAGUAGCCCCGCCAGUUAUAUCUUCGGAGGGGCAAAAAAUAUUAGGCCAAUUUUUGAAAUUGACUCCACCCAGAUUUACCAGGACACAAGGAGAGGAUGCUAUGGAGUUUCUAUCCAGUUGUGAGGAGCGGUUGCGGAAUUUGGGUUUGGUUGAAGCACGGGGAGUAGACUUUGUUUCUUAUCAGUUCGACACAGCAGUGAGGAGGUGGUGGAGUGGUUAGCUUGAUUCUAGGCCAGCUGGAUCUCCCAGUGACUUGGACCCAGUUCUCCGAGGCUUUCUUAGGGAAGUAUAUGCCUCGUAGCAUGCGUGAGCGUCUCCGAGAUGAGUUUACAGCUUGGGACAGGGUUCUAUGAUCGUGUCUGAGUAUGAAGUGAUAUUCCAUGAGUUAGCCAGACACGCCACUAUGAUUCUGGAAACGGAGUACGAACGAAUUUGAUGCUUUGUUAGGGGAUUGAGGUUGUCACUUCGUAGGGUUACACAGAGUUUGGUGACUUUAGGGAAGUCUUUUUUGGAGAUAUCCGAUCAUGUUUAUUCCAUAGAGGAGAUGGAUCGUGAGGCUUAAGAGGGCAGCGAUAAGAGACCACGUUGCCAGGGCAGUUAUAGCGGUUCUCAGUUCUCAGGCCGAGGAUUUCAUGGUAGAUACCCCCAUCAACAGCCUUUACAGCAUCAGGGUCAGCCUAGUCGGCCAGUUCAGGCAUCACUUCAGAUAUCCGACCUGGGCUCAGCCCGGCUAUAAUAGUUCCAGUGGUCAGAGUAGCAGCCAGCCAUAGAAGGUUAUUCAGCCAGGAUUGUCGAGUAAAGGUGGUCAUUUUGGAUUCGCCGGACCUUCUAGACAGAGCAGGGUGCCCAGGAUAUGUUAUGACUGCGGGAUUAUUGGUCACUUUGCUCGUGAGUGCCCUCGGCGUAGGAUGAUUGGGCCUUCAGUUCUGAAUGUGCAGCCGAUUAGAUCAGUGUCGCCGUUGGGUAAAGGUAGUGUACAGGGUCGUGGAGGUGAUCCCCAGGGUUGUAGAGGUGGUCCACAGGGAGGUAGGGCAAGUGGUUGGGCAGGUACCCAGUCCAGUAGUGGACAGGGUCAUUUAUAUGCCGUACCAGGUAGACCAGAGGCUGAGGCUUCAGAUGCCAUGAUCACAAGUACGAUAUUCGUAUCCCAUCAGACAGCUUCUGUUUUGUUUGAUCCCGGUUCCACACUUUCAUAUAUUUUUGCUUAUUUUGCAUCGCGACUGGGUUUAUGUUCGGAGUCUUUAUCUGUGCCAUUACGUGUGGCUACCCCACUAGGUGAUUCUUUAGUAGUGGAUCGGGUAUAUAGAUCUUGUUUGGUGACUAUUCAGGAGUUUGAUACUCAUAUUGACCUCAUUGUCCUAGAUAUAGUAGAUUUUGACGUGAUUCUAAGCAUGAAUUAGUUGUCUCCUUACCAUGCGAUCUUGAAUUGUUUUGCUAAAAUCGUUACUUUAGAUUUGCCUGGCAUAACCCCAGUUGUGUGGCAGGGUUCCGUUAGCCGUGCACCGAUGGGGAUUAUUUGGUACAUUCGGGAUAGGAGACUGAUAUCGAAGGGUUGUGAGUCUUUUCUUGCAUAUAUCAGGGAUGUUAGUGUUGAGAGUUCCCCGCUUGACUCCGUCCCUGUUGUUCGUGAGUUUUUUGAUAUAUUUCCGACCGACCUACCUGGCUUUCCUCUUGAGCGUGAUGUAGAGUUUAUUAUUGACCUCGAGCCAGGCACCCAACCUAUUUCUAUUGCUCCAUAUUGUAUGGCUCCUGCUGAGUUGAAGGAGCUGAAUAGUCAGCUUGAGGAUCUUCUAGGUAAGAGUUUUAUCAGACCGAGUGUAUCACCUUAGGGUGCUCCAGUUCUGUUUGUAAAGAAAAAGGAUGGAUCCUUACGUAUGUGUAUCGAUUACAGGCAGUUGAAUAAGGUGACGGUGAAAAAUAAGUAUCCUAUGCCUCGCAUUGAUGAUUUGUUUGAUCAGCUUCAGGGAGCGGCGGUGUUUUCUAAAAUUGAUUCGAGGUCUGGUUACCAUCAGUUGAGAGUUAGGGCUGCGGACAUCCCUAAGACAGCCUUCAGGACUCGUUAUGGUCAUUAUGAGUUCUUGGUGAUGUCUUUUAGGUUGACAAAUGCUCUAACAGCUUUUAUGAAUCUGAUGAAUCUCGUGUUCAGGCCAUAUUUGGACUCCUUCGUGAUAGUAUUUAUUGAUGACAUUCUUGUAUAUUUGAGGAGUAAGGAGAAGCACGAGCAACAUUUGAGGACUGUGCUCCACACUUUGAGAGGCCACAGGCUUUAAGCCAAGUUCUCAAAAUAUGAGUGUUGGCUUGAGUCUGUAGCUUUCUUGGGGCACGUAGUGUCCAAGGACGGUAUUAUGGUGGACCCAGCCAAGAUUGAGGCUAUUCGUAGUUGGGCCAGGCCUACAUCACUCUUCGAGGUUCGUAGCUUUAUUGGGUUGGCAGGUUACUACAGGCAGUUCAUUAAAGGUUUUUCUUCUAUUGCAUCCCCUAUGACUAGAUUGACCAGAAAGGAUGUUCCGUUUCAGUGGUCUGCAAGUUGUGAGGCGAGCUUUAUGAAGCUUAAGGAAUUACUUACUUUAGCUCCUAUUCUGACUCUUCUUGUUGAGGGCGGGGAUUUUACUGUCUAUUGUGAUGCGUCUGGUGUUGGUGUGGGGUGUGUUCUGAUGCAGCGUGGCCGUGUAAUUGCAUAUGCAUCGAGACAGUUGAAGGUGCAUGAGCGAAACUAUCUCACUCAUGACUUAGAGUUGGCAGCGGUAGUAUUUGCGCUUAGGAUUUGGAGGCAUUACUUGUAUGGGGUUCGCUGUGAGAUAUUUACUGAUCACCGUAGUCUGCAGUAUAUUAUGACCUAGAAGGAGCUUAAUUUGAGGCAGCGUAGGUGGAUUACCUCGUACUUUGCAUGGUUUUGACAGUAUUGGCUUAUUGUGGAUCGAUUGACCAAGUCUGCUCAUUUUAUCCUUGUUCGAGUUUCCUACAGUGCCAAGAGGUUAGCUCGUAGUUAUAUCCAGGAGGUGGUUUGCCUACAUGGGGUCCCUGUGUCCAUUAUCUCUGACCGAGGCUCUCAAUUUACUUCUAGCUUUUGGAGGACAUUUCAGGAGGAGUUGGGAAGCUAGGUUGACCUUAGCACAGCCUUUCAUCCCCAGACGGAUGGACAAUCAGAGUGGACUAUCCAGGUCUUAGAAGAUAUGCUACGCGCUUGUGUGUUGGAUUUUAGAGGUCAGUGGGACCUGUUUCUACCUUUGGCAGAGUUUGCAUAUAAUAAUAGCUUUCACGCGAGUAUUUAGAUGGCCCCAUUUAAGGCAUUGUAUGGUAGGCGAUGUCGAUCUCCUAUUGGUUGGUUCGAGACUUCUGAGGCUAGGCCUCGUGGCACAGAUUUGCUUCAUGAUUCGUUGGAUCGUGUUUGAGUGAUUCAGGACAGGCUACGAGCAGCUCAGAGCAGACAGAGGUGUUAUGCUGAUCGCAGACGUCGUCUAUUGAGUUUUAGAGUUGGUGAUAAGGUCUUCUUACGAGUAUCGCCCAUGAAGGGUGUGAUGAGGUUUGGAAGAAGGGGCAAGCUUAGCCCUAGAUAUAUCAAACCUUUUGAGAUCCUACAGAGAGUUGGGGAAAUAGCUUCUGUAUUGGCAUUGCCACCUGCCUUCUUAGCCAUUCACCCGAUGUUUCAUGUAUCUAUGUUACGACAGUAUAUUCCAGAUGAGUCACGUGUACUUCAGUAGGACUCGGUUCAGUUGGACGAUGAAUUGGCAUUUGUAGAGGAGCCAAUAUCUAUUUUGGCGAGGGACGUCAGGCGGUUGCGUUCCAGGGACAUUCCGAUAGUCAAGGUUCAGUAGCGUCACCGUCCAGUUAAGGGGGCUACAUGGGAGAUCGAGAGUGAUAUACGCGCCCAGUAUUCCUACCUGUUUGACCCUUCAGGUAUUUCCUUAUCUUUUACUUUCGCAAACAAAAGUCCUUUUAGUAGUGGAUACUGUAAUGACCCUUACGAUCAUUUUACUGUAUUUUCAUAUAAUUGUAGUACUAUCUAUAUAUAUAUAUAUAUCGUGGAUUAUUUAAUUUAAUUUGGCAUUUUGUAAAAAUAUAACUUAGUACCCUUCUAAAAUAUUUUCGAUAUUUGUAAAAUUUUUUAAGUCACGAGAUAUUUAUCUCACUUUAUAAUAGACUUUUAUAAUUUGUUAAUAUUGUAAGUGGAGAUAGUAAUUUUAAAAAAAUGUUAAAAUACUAUUAUUAUAUAAUAGAGGUUUUGUUAGAAAUAAUUUUCUAUUAAUUAUGAUAUAUUCAAAAUAUUAUAAUUAUUUUACCAUAAAUUUAUACAAUACCCGAUUAUGUACACAAUGUAGGAAAAAUAAGGCAACCGUUUACGUGGAAAUGAAUGGGUGGACCACUUUUGUAAUCAUCCAAUUUAAUUGCCAUGUGUUACUCCUAAUGUCAGCAUUUCAAUAUUUAAUCAAUCAAUGAAUAAGACAUAAUGGUCCCUCUCUCUUUAUUAUAUAUAUAUUUGGGCUUUCCAUUUUUGGAGAGAGAUUUAGAAAGCAAAGUGUAUGUUACUACCAGUUCCCUUUCGCCUUUUUUUUUUAUGUGCUCAACACACAGCUAUAAUAUUUUUCUAAAAGAAGUUUUGGCGGAUGGACUUGUUCUUUUAAUCAAUUAUCUUCUGCAAGUAAUUUGAGAUUGGGUUUUUCGGAGGCUUUUUGGAAGAAUUAUAGCUUUGGCGUUCAGGUAGACUAGGUUUACCUUAUUUUCAGAUUGAGCUUACUUACUGAAAAUCUUAACUAUUAUGUUAGCUUUGGAUAAAUCCUUGUAGAUGCGUAUUUUUGAUACAUAUAAACUAUCUUAUUUAUUCGGAUUAGGGCCCUGUUUUAAUAAAUUUUUGAAAAACUUAUCUCUUAAUAUAAUGUAACAUGUAUCACUUUGGGACGUAAUAUAUAUAUAUAUAUAUAUAUAUAUAUUGCUUCUCUUCAUCAUCCUCCAAUAUACCUUUAGAAAUAGUUAUAUGAAACAUGUAUGCAUAUAUAAUUAUUUGAAAAGCAUAUAUGUAUAAGAGUAUAUAUUAAGCAUAUGAUAAUAUAGAUAUAUAGUAUAUUUAUUAAAUUACAAAACCUUGAAUUUAUUCCUUUUUAAGAUUAAAGGAUGAUUGUUUAGACAUUGACAAUGUUAUGAUAUGGUAUGAAUUUUAUUAUUUUUGGUGAUUAUGGUUACUAUGAGUUCCGGUUCGAGUCCGGCAAAUGAUUAUUAUGGUUACUAUGAGUUUCGGUUCGAGUCCGGCAAAUUAUUAUUAUGGUUACUGUGAGUUCCAGUUCGAGUCCGGUAAAUGAUUAUUAUGGUUACUAUGAGUUUCGGUUCGAGUCCGGCAUCUGAUUAUGAGUUCUAUACAUCUGGCCUCUCGUUAUUACCCAUUGGUGCCGGUUCAAGUCCGGUGCACAUCUGGAAAACUAUGAUGAUUUAUGGUGAUCAAUGCAGUUAUAGACUAUUUAUGUUUAUUUUUAUUACUUGUGUGUCCCACCGGCUUAUGGGGGAUACGGAUGGGUUAAUUGUCUUCUUUAGUGUGCCUAGCGGGCUUAUGGGAGUCCAGUUAGGUUAUGUAGUGUGCCUAGCGGGCUUAUGGGGGCCCAGCUAGGUUAUGUUUGAUUUAUCUAUUAUUACUGCAUUAUUAUUUUUUGGUAUCGCAUAAGUUUAUUCCUUUACAGCCAUUGCAUAGCUUGGUAGCUGUUUACCUUUCCAUUCCUAUCUACUAAUGACUCAGAUUACGCCCUCGCAUUGUAGUUAUACCUUUUCUGUAUUACGCUCAGUCGGGCGAUGAUGCCUACUGAGUACCCGUAAGUUUUGGUACUCAUACUACACUUCUGCAUCUUUUUCUGAUGCAGCUCAGGGUAAUAGCAGUCGACGUUAACGUGGUUCCUACCUUCCAUCAUUGAUUUAGAGCAGGGUGAUCUUAUUGUCGUCUGAGGCUGAUCCUCUUCUAUCUAUUCCAGUUAGUCUUUUGUUCUCGAGACUGCUUGUGUAUAUUGUGUACAUUUUAUAUUUUUGUCUAGUACUCUAGGUACCUUUUAGUAAUGGCUCUAGUACUGACCUUAUCAGGUCUUGGGAGGGAUUCAUUGUAAGUUGAUCCUUUUUCCUCAUCUCGUUUUGAUAUAAUAUAUAUGCUCCUUUCUUAGUUUUUACUUAUUAUUAUUAUACAUAAUCCUUUAUUUGGUCUCUGCCUGUUAGCCCGUUACUUAUAAUUUCGGACUAUGGCUUGACUUGCCUACUUGUGGGUUAAAGUAGGCGCCAUCAUUACUUGAGAAAUCGGGUUGUGAUAGAAUAAGAUUCAUAUUUUCACAUUUUUUCUAGUUUUGAACUGUGUAAUUGGAUUGGACACUAUAUUUUGGAUUUGUUUUGUUUUGUAUGUUUGAUUGAUCGUUUUAUGUGUUUUUUAUGUGAUUUAUACAUUUGUAAUGUCAAAUUAGCCGAUACGCUCAACUAAGCGAUCUUGGUUGAAUCACGGGAUCGAGGAGUGCCUAACUCCUUCUCCUCGUUCAACAGAAUUCCUUAACCGGAAUCUCUGUUUGCAGAUCAGUUUUUAGAGUCAAAUUAUUUUGAAAAGGAUCUUUCAAAGGUGACUUGGCACACUGGAUUAUGUCAAGUUGUGACUCUGAAUAAAAAAUGUAAAUAAUUCUUUUUUCAAAAUAAAUUUUUAAUCUUUUGUCACUUUAAUAAUAAAAACUCUUUUGAACUUAAAAGAUAUCCUUUCGGGUAAAAAACGGAUGUGACAGCGAUAAAACUGUUCUCAUAACUGCUAGGCAAAACUCCUUCAAACAGGCCUAAUUAAGGCUCAUAAUUGAAUUACUAAACUCUUGUUAAGUAUUUUAUCCUUAUUAGAGACAGUACCUAAUAUCAUGAUUAAUGUAGUAAUCCAUGUUUAUGUAUUACUACUUACUAGGGAGAAGCACAAAAAAAAUGUAACUCCUGUCUAUGUAUUACGAACAUCAUCAACAUCUAUUGUUCUGAAUAUGAUGAAGCUGGCUUUUUUGGAAUUUGAUUUCUUUUAUGGUCACUCAACUAAUAAUUUUUAUCUCAGGAAUCAGGAUAUCACUCACUUAAUUUUGUAGUGCAAAAGUUAAGAAGAUGUUUGACCAUGAGAAUUUUUCACUUUUUUUUGGAGUUCAAUUUCGGAAAAUAUGUUUGACCAUAAAUUUCCGAAAAAUUCUGCUUUCACUUUAUUUAAAAAUUCCAAGAACAACAAAAAGUCGUUUUCACGUCAAGUUACUCAUCAAAAUUCAAAAACAACUCUAAUUUAUUUCAUGACCAAACAUUUCUCCAAUUUCCAAAAAAUCAUUUUUCAUGUUUGAAAACAACAACAAUUUUUUUCUAUUUUCACUGGGAAACUUGGCCAAACACCUACUUAUCUCAAAAACUCACUCAACUUUAUUUUGUCUAAAGUGGCCUUUAUAUCUAAACUAGACAUUCAAUUUCGUGCUAGCACAAGUUCAAUAUAUGCUAUUUUUUUCAUCCCAAUUUUGUAAUGUUAAUAGAAUCUAGAGAAUUAUUUUAAGUUAUUAAUUGUUGUAAUUUAUAUGUAAUACUUUAUACAUCAUUUUUCCAAACUAAUUGUGGAAUUUAAAAAAUUCUGCCAAACUAAUUGGAUAUACCUAAUCUUUUAAAAUAGAAGUUAGGCAAAAAAAUAAAAAUACAAUAAUAAGGUCCUUAAUAUAUCUCAAUGUGUAGAAGACUCCCUAGACCCUUUUUUUCAAUUAUAUCACUGUAUAUUUUCCAUACAAAUACAUUUAUACACAAGUAUAGAGUGCCUUUAAUAAAACAUUCAAAACUUUAAGUAGAAAUGUCCAAAUGACAAGCGGAGUUGAAAGCUACAAAUAAUGUCUGUAUAUUUACAAAUAAUUACAAGGUAUUAUACUAAUAAUUACAAGGUGUUACCUUAUUUUUUUUUAUGUUUUGAAAUAGAAAAAUCACUUGCGAUUACAAUUACAAAGUCACUCAACCAAUUAUAUUCAAGUGAUAUUUGUGAUAGAUAUAUUGCCUCAUGAAGAAAUUUCUAAAAGCUAAAUUUUUAAUAAAUAAAAAUCUACCCAUUUGAAUUAACUACUAAAUUAACCUGCUCUACUGAUCGAAUUACUUAAAUUUAAUGAAUUUUAUAUAUAGUGUAAGAGGACCCUUUGAGAGAUUUAUGUAACUAUACAAUCUUAAAAAUCACAUUACAAAUUUUUAUCAUUAUUUUCAAAAUCUGAAGUUAAACAAAUUUGCUUUUUCGUCUAAUUGAUCAAUUCAUAAGACAUUAUUAUAUAAUGUAACAUUAUUAAGUAUAAGACAUUAUUUUAUUUAUAUUCUAUUGUCAUUUUUUAAGUCAACAAAUAUAUAAUAAUUAUAUGGGCAAUGUAGAUUAAUUAGAAUAUCUAAUCAAUUAUCUUAAAUAAAAAUACAAAAAAAUAAAAAUAAAAUCAACGUAUGUUUUAAAAGGGAAUAAAUAUUAGAUCCUGGAUUUAAUGGGGCCUCAUUUAGUUAAUUAAUUUGCAAAAUUUUAUAUUAUGCUAAAAUUGUUAUAAAAUAUGUUAUUUAUGAAACAUUGCAAAAAUUAUGUGUAACACCCCGUACUUUCGGGCUAGAAUUUAGACCGUCGUUCCUAUGCGUAUAGAUCCGAACUAAAUGAUUCCAUGUUAAUAUAUGUGUAGUGAUCACUCCUAUAGUGUGGGAAAACCUUUGAAUAUGAAUUGAAGUCACAAAAAUCCCCUAACUCAAAGACGAAUUAAAAACUUUUCUAUCAAUAAAUUUUAGUGAACGUUUCAACGUGGGUCAAUAUCCAUCGACUAUUACUCCUAGAAUAUGAUGAUUUAGAGGACCUACUAUAUAUUGAAUGAAUGGUCUUCGAGGUAGCUUUCCAACGAUACCAAUUUCGCCUCAAUCCGACACCCGAGAUAAAAGUUAUGACUUUGCAAAGAGGAGUGUGUCGCCUAAGGCUAUUGGAAUUGUUGCGCCAUAGGCAAUGCGACGCCCAACCUAUUUUGGGCGAUGGGCAAUGCACGACACAACCUAGCUUAGGAUAUAGGCAAUUUGUCGCAUGCCCUAUGGCCCAACGACGUAAAUACUUCAUUUUUAAGUCAUUUUAAGGGAAAUCAAGUCUUUUUACAAUCCAAAAUUGUCCCUAAUUCAUCUUCCAAGAACACCAUAAGAGAAAAACAACUUAGGGCUAAACAUUCAAGCUCAAGGGAUCAACUUUUCUGUGAAUUCUUCAUCGAUUAAGGUAAGUACGGCUGUCCUAAAAACUCUAUGGGUAUAAGUUAUAUUUUAGCAAUCUUUAGAAAGUAUGUUAUGAUAUUUAUAACAAGGGUUUGAACAAUUUUUUUGAAUAUCUAAAUCAUGAAACCCUUUUCAAUGAUAGACGUAUUGUUUUGGUCUUGAUGCCUCCCCUUAAAAUUGAUUUUUACUCUUGUAUAUGUAAGUAUGCGUUUUGAGUUUUGCAAAGAUUAAAUUGAGAGCAUGAAUGACGAAACCCCUCUCUUGUUAAAAUAACUCUAGAUUUCACAUAUGAUGGGUUGUUCAAUUACAUAUUUUGAAGCGUGAGAUAAGUGUUUUACUAUUGUUUUGAACUUGAUAUUUAUUAUGAAUUGAAGAGAAGAUGUUUUAUUAUUUAUAAAUAUUUAAUGUGAUAAUUGAAAGAGAUUGCAUGAUUUGUAACGUGAUACUUGACCAUCACGUGUUUGUGAAUUGAAAUUGAGGAUCUUUGCCUAAGUUUUUAUGAGUUUCACUAUACGCAUCCUCAUGUAUGGUUUGAAUGGUUUGGUCAUCUGAACACAAGUUUUUGAAAGAGAAUACUUAACAUGAUUAUGUAUGACUUAGAGAUACGACUUGCAAGUCUUGGUAUGACGAUACUAAAUAGAUGAAUGCCAUAGCAGACUCAGAACAAACUAAAAUACAAUACAAAUUUUACUUAGAUUUUUAGAAUUUGAUUUAAGAAAGAUACAUGUUUAGAACAAACUAAAAAUGGUCUUAAAGAGAGUUAGGUGGUUACCCGAAGAAAUUACGAGUUGAAAGACUCAAUGCUAGAAACCGUGAUUUGCCGACACGGGGUUAUGGUACUAUGCUUUGUGAUCUUGUGUACCUUGAUUCAUGUCAUUCCAAAUUGGUACUAUUGUUAGGAGCCCUUCUUUUUAAUCUUGUGCACUACCAAGACAUGUUGAUUUGAUUAGAGAUUUUGGCACCCUGCUGUGUGAUCUUGUGUAUCCCCCUUAUUGAUACUCCAAUCCUGGAGGCAAACUUGGAUUGGGAGAUUAGCCAUCGAGUCAAGGGUGGAUUCUAUAUAGCCCGUGGAAUUACAGAAUGUAGGGUGUACCACCUAGCUCAGAAGUAUGACAAAGAAUGAGUUAUGAUUUCAAAGAAUUGUUCAAAGUCUUUUAAAGUAUGCCCAUGUGUUUUCAUAUUCUUUAUCUAAAAUAUUUUAUGAAUUGCUCUCACUUAUGAUAGAUAUAGAUACAUUAUUUUUUAUUGCCCUACUACUAGUACAUUUGUAUUGACCCCUAUAUUUCAGGAUUGAAGCUCAGUCCCGGGGUUUCGUUAAGCAGUAGAUUGACUUGACAGAAGUUGCAGCUAGUGAGCCUCCCUUACUUUGGAAGUUCUGAUUACAAAACUUGUCAUGGUUAUAUUAUUUUGAUCCAUGGUCCGACUGAGGCCUUGUCCCAGAGUUCAGACAAAUGUUAUUUUUAUUUAGUAAAGAUUUCACAGACCAGAGUCAUGUACUUUGAAUGUUAUAAACUUCAUUUUGUAUUGUCCAGUUGAAUUUAAAAAGUGACAAUGUUUUCGUUUAUUA